AGGUGUAAUAUAGUGUACAAAUAGAUUCGUUCUAUAGCAGUACAAUAAUGGAAAUGUUAUAAACUGAAAGAUAUACGCAGUCUUAAUAAAGAUGUACUUUUUGCAUCACGGGUAUGCGAGUUAAU
rnacentral:rRNA from 1 species